rnacentral:rRNA from 1 species
UACGAAGGGGGCUAGCGUUGCUCGGAAUCACUGGGCGUAAAGGCGCACGUAGGCGGCUUCUUAAGUCAGGGGUGAAAUCCUGGAGCUCAACUCCAGAACUGCCUUUGAUACUGAAGAUCUUGAGUUCGGGAGAGGUGAGUGGAACUGCGAGUGUAGAGGUGAAAUUCGUAGAUAUUCGCAAGAACACCAGUGGCGAAGGCGACUCACUGGACAUGUAUUGACGCUGAGGUGCGAAAGCGUGGGGAGCAAACAGG